rnacentral:rRNA from 1 species
AACGAACGCUGGCGGCAUGCCUAACACUUGCAAGUCGAACGAGACCUUCGGGUCUAGUGGCGCACGGGUGCGUAACGCGUGGGAACCUGCCCUUAGGUUCGGAAUAACUCCCCGAAAGGGGUGCUAAUACCGGAUAAUGUCUUCGGACCAAAGAUUUAUCGCCUUUGGAUGGGCCCGCGUUGGAUUAGCUAGUUGGUAGGGUAAAAGCCUACCAAGGCGACGAUCCAUAGCUGGUCUGAGAGGAUGAUCAGCCACACUGGGACUGAGACACGGCCCAGACUCCUACGGGAGGCAGCAGUGGGGAAUAUUGGACAAUGGGCGAAAGCCUGAUCCAGCAAUGCCGCGUGAGUGAUGAAGGCCUUAUGGUUGUAAAGCUCUUUUACCCGGGAUGAUAAUGACAGUACCGGGAGAAUAAGCUCCGGCUAACUCCGUG